UAUAGCUCAGUUGGUAGAGCAUCCUAGAUAUUAUGGGAAGGUCCUAGGUUCAAAUCCUACCUUAUGAA
rnacentral:tRNA from 1 species